rnacentral:rRNA from 1 species
UACGAAGGGGGCUAGCGUUGCUCGGAAUCACUGGGCGUAAAGGGUGCGUAGGCGGGCCUUUAAGUCAGGGGUGAAAUCCUGGAGCUCAACUCCAGAACUGCCUUUGAUACUGAGGAUCUUGAGUACGGGAGAGGUGAGUGGAACUGCGAGUGUAGAGGUGAAAUUCGUAGAUAUUCGCAAGAACACCAGUGGCGAAGGCGGCUCACUGGCCCGGUACUGACGCUGAGGCACGAAAGCGUGGGGAGCAAACAGG